UGUUCUAUCGCCAAAACGACACAAGAAUAAAACACAAUAUUUGACUUCAUCACGAGAAGAGUCCCUGUUUAAAUAAUCGGGGCGGCUUUUAAUUUGAAAGGGGCAACAGCAGAUGACGUUUAACACAAACAAACCACCUCGCGCAGGGGAUGGCAAUGUCUUCCGGGUAAGAAUAUUUCAUCUGUACACCUGCAGUCAUUUAUGAGAAUUAAUGUAUGUUCAUAUACAAAGUAUUGGAAACUAUUCUUACGACUAAUUUCGAUACGGCCGUGUAAGAAGCUGUAAGCUGCGACCUUAAAGUAGUGGGGAGCCCAAGAUGCAGGAACCAGGAGAGCGACGAGCAGUCCCAGGGUCCCAUAUGGUGGUCAAAUGGUCCCACCUUGUCGGAUUAUAUUCUCAGCCAUCUACUUUUCAGCUCGCCAGCAAGUUAAGUCUUCUUUCCCCUGAAGCAAGAUCCUGAAACCAGCUGGAAGUCAUAGGCCCAGUAAUGAAAAAGGGAGCCACUAGGGCGGCACUAAAGAGCCGCAUGCCACUCGAGAGAUGCAGGUUGCUGACCUCCGGGAUAGAGAAACAGAAGGAGCUUAUUGACUACACCGUCGGACUGCAAUGGUGGACGCGCGCAUAGCACUUUGGGUAAAUCUCUUCCAU